GGGGUUGUAGCUUAGUGGUAGAGUGCUUGCCUAGCACAAGCAAGGCAUUGGGUUUGAUCCUCAGCACUACA
rnacentral:tRNA from 1 species